UUUGCAGGGCCUGCGAGAGGAAAGGGAUGCCCUGCAUGCCCCACUACGAAGGAAGCUGGGGUGAUAGGGACCCCUUUCCUCCCCUCCCCCGUGAGCAUUUUUUAAGGGGGAGGGUUUGUGGUGGGAUGGCUGCCCCACCCCCAUGUGAGAGGGAACUAGACUAGGCCAGAAUGGCUGUGCAAGCCGUCAGCCAAUCAGGGAAGGGCCUACGGAGAGCCAAUCAGGGCCAAGAUUAGAGCCAGCCAAUCAGGGCUAGGCUAGGCUAGGCCCUCUAUAAUGGCUGCCCAGGAGAGCAGCAGGUAGUCUGUCUCAGAAUUUCAUGGGGGAAGGUCUGUCUCCAGAGCAGGAGACCAGCAUCUCGGGCUGGGUAGUACUGCAUCUGGCCAUCCGAUGGCCGAGACAAAUUGUAACCGGCCCUUGAGACAAGGGGCUAGACUUUGGGGGUUGCUGUUGGCCACCGAGGCAGGUGCAAGGACUGUUGCUAACCCCCACCCCUGGAAUGGGGUGAGGAUGGACUAGUGGGCACUGCUGGAGGGGCAGUGGCCUGCAGGGCAGUGUCAAGCAGAGAGCAACGCGGCUCCAGAUGACAACGGAGGACAAGAGACGGAUGGGACGCUGCCAGCAGAGGGCGUUCCCCAUGGACUGAGCUAAUUCCCAGAGCGACCAGCGGGAGGCGCCAUGCUGGAAUAGGAGCCUCCUUCCAGCUGUCUUUCAGGCCCUGGGAUCUGGCGCAGCCUCCCAGACGGGCGCUUCCUGUAGCUGAGCCACGUCAGGGAGCAGUGGGGACAGGUCACCUCGUCCCAGCAAUGCCGGCUCUCAAAGAGGCUUAGAUGGAAGACCCCAGUCCCUCAUUGAGAGGCGGUGUCCAGGAUCCUGGAGACUGUUUCCUGCUGCAGGAGGCUUGAGCAGGGAGAGAUCACUCACUGUCACGACCCAGGGGUCUCCAACCCGGGUCUGCAGGGUUCAUGGGAGCAGCCACACUCCAACCCUCCACCUUGAAGCCUGCUGAAAAUUGCUUACCUUGGACCCAUGAAGUUCACCCCCAGUUUGAGGCUCCACUCAUGAGGUCCUAUUGGAGGAGUCCCAGGAAAGCUCACUGGCCCCCUGGCCCUGCGUAAGACAGCAGCAGGAACACGAAGC